GAUGAACGCUGGCGGCGUGCCUAAUACAUGCAAGUCGAACGAGGUGCCUUUGUAGCAAUACGAAGGUAUCCUAGUGGCGAACGGGUGAGUAACGCGUUGGUGACCUACCCCAAAGUGUGGGAUAACAGAUCGAAAGAUCUGCUAAUACCGCAUGUGGUCUUCGGAUUUAGAAACUGAUGACUAAAGGAGCAAUUCGCUUUGGGAGGGACCUGCGCCCCAUCAGCUAGUUGGUGAGGUAAUGGCUCACCAAGGCUACGACGGGUAGGGGACCUGAGAGGGUGGCCCCCCCACAAUGGAACUGAAACACGGUCCAUACACCUACGGGUGGCAGCAGUAGGGAAUAUUGCACAAUGGGCGAAAGCCUGAUGCAGCAACGCCGCGUGUGCGAUGAAGGCCUUCGGUCGUAAAGCACUUUUCUGAGGGAUGAGCAAGGACAGUACCUCAGGAAUAAGUCUCGGCUAACUACGUGCCAGCAGCCGCGGUAAU
rnacentral:rRNA from 1 species